rnacentral:lncRNA from 1 species
GGGCCAAUACAAACCAUUGUGUGGAAAUCUAUUCACAAACCGGACUUUACAUAGGACACGAGGCCAUGCGUUUAGACUGGAAGAAAGAAGAUUUCGUCUAAGGCAAAGGAAAGUUUUUUUUACUGUAAGAACAAUCAGGAUGUGGAAUUCUCUGCCUGAGGAAGUGGUUUUAUCAGAGUCCAUACAGAUGUUCAAACGGCUACUAGAUGCAUACUUGCAAGAACAGAAUAUUCAAGGAUAUAAUCUUUCAAUGUAGGGUAAUAACUGCUUGAUCCAAGGAUAAAUCUGACUGCCAUUCUGGGGUCAAGAAGGAAUUUUUUUUCCUAGCUUGUUGCAAAAUUGUGCUUCAAACUGUUUUUUUUUGCCUUCUUUUG